rnacentral:rRNA from 1 species
CCUACGGGUGGCAGCAGUGGGGAAUAUUGCACAAUGGGGGAAACCCUGAUGCAGCGACGCCGCGUGAGCGAGGAAGUAUUUCGGUAUGUACAGCUCUAUCAGCAGGGACGAAAAAAGACGGUACCUGACUAAGAAGCCCCGGCUAACUACGUGCCAGCAGCCGCGGUAAUACGUAGGGGGCAAGCGUUAUCCGGAUUUACUGGGUGUAAAGGGAGCGUAGACGGCAAGGCAAGCCAGAAGUGAAAGGACAGGGCUCAACCCUGUACAUGCUUUUGGAACUGUGGUGCUGGAGUGCAGGAGAGGUAAGUGGAAUUCCUAGUGUAGCGGUGAAAUGCUUAGAUAUCACGAAGAACUCCGAUUGCGAAGGCAGUUCACUGGACUGCAACUGACACUGAGGCUCGAAAGUGUGGGUAUCAAACAGGAUUAGAUACCCUUGUAGUC